GGAAAACUCCGGGUAAGAUAGUUCCAGCAAGAGGACCAACUGAUUUCGGGUGGGAUCCAGUGUUUCAACCUGAUGGAUAUGACCAAACUUAUGCAGAAAUGGCCAAGGAAGAAAAGAACUUGAUUUCUCAUAGGUACAAGUCAUUAGCAUUGGUGAAAUCGCACUUUAAGGAGGCAGGCUAUGUGUUCCAGACAGAUGAUGAUACCAUUUAAGCGAUCCCAAUCAUCAAUGUAUCCAGCUUUUAGAGAUUUGAGCACUGAUCACUCACUGUUCCUAUAUUAAGCUCCUUUGGGGAUGAUCACUCACUGUUCCUAUAUUAAGCUCCUUUGGGGAUAUCAAUAUUGUAUUUUUUUUCUCAAGUACAAGUAAAACCCAUGCAUGGAUUGAAAGGCAUCGUUUGGUAGUAUUGUUCAUGGUGGUCAUUAAAUACUCCGACGGUGAGACUUGUAUCAAUCUGAUAAAACCAUCCAACCAAAAAGCUAAAAUAAAUGUUGGAUGGCAAAACUAAAAGAGAAUGGGGUGCUAUGAUGUUCCACAUAAAUAGCCGUUUAUGAUCACACAAUGUAUUUUAUUUUCUCUUUUUGUACUUAAAGAGUCUCAUUUGUUUAGUUGUGUACAUCGUGAGUUGCAGUGCCUGAGCUUCAAGGUGAGCCUGAGGAUAUCUCCAAAGAGAAGGCUCGUUUAGCUGCUCUUCAGGUGAAUGGUCCAGUCUUAGUGGAGGAUACAUGCCUCUGUUUCAAUGCUCUGAAGGGGCUUCCUG